rnacentral:SRP_RNA from 1 species
AGGUACAGUGCUGCAUAGCUAUAGUUCUCACUACUGGGGAAAGUUAAGGCUGGUGGAUUACUUGAGCUUGGAAGUUUUAAGCACCCAUGGGCUAAACUAAUUGGGUGUCUGUGUGGGUUUUGUACCAGUACAGUAAGGUCCUGGGAUCAGGAGAUGACAAGACUGCCUAAGAAGGGCAAAAUGGUCCAGGUCAGAAAUGGAACAGGUCAAAGCUCCCAUGCCAGUCAAUAGCAGAAUUGAGCUCCUGAGUGGCUACUGUACUUCCAGCCUGAGCUAGAAAGGGAAACCCAGUCUCC